GGCAUAAAAUUCACUGUCUAUUGUUAUAAUUCCUGUUUUCUAGAAGAAAUAGACACUCUUUUGUUUCAUGGCCAAAUUUAUGACUUCUAUUAUUGCCGUAAAAAACUGCAUCCAUAUGUAGCAGCCCAUACGGCGUUGCUACACUUAAGAUUGAUUCCUUCUUGUUCAUGGCUUUUUCACAGCAUGAUCUCCACAGACAUGUAGGAGGACAAUUCCUGCCCUGAGAAAUGGAGGAAUAAUGCUGCAAUAUCAUUCUGACCAUUUUCUCUUUGGAGAUGCUUUCUGUGCUUUCAGCCAAGUGUGUCUUUCAGGUCAGCUCCACAGAUGUAAAUCCCUGAGUGCUGUUUGUAAACUGAACUGAUGGUUGCAUUGCUGAGGGAUUUGCUGCAGCUCAAGGGAAUGUUGUGCAGAAGCUGAGACCAUUGCUGUGCUAAUACAGCCCUUGGCCAUUCCCAGGGCUCUGCAUGCAGCUACCCCAGUCCCUGUUCAGCCCAAGGGCUGUCCUGCAGUCUGCCUGCUCCUCCUAGCCUUAGCUGGAAAAGAGUUCAGAUAAUUGCUGUGUUUUUGCACCGUGCUGUGAAGUGAGGAUAUGAAUCAAGUCACAUACUGUGAACAGGCAACAACGAUUUUUCCUGGGUGGCUUGGUGAGUUGCAUGGAGCGAAUGGGCAGUGCUGAUCCCAGAUCCUGGUAGAACACCAGCCCAGCCAAAGAGAUGCUUUAGAUCGUUCACUUGGAAGAACGCUCACUUUGAGAAGAAAAGACAUCACUCCUCCAAGAAGUCCCGGGCUGCUAUUCUGGACCACACUGUUGGAUCUAAACACUCCUUUGCCGUGUCCAUUCAAGUUCCCAUUUGCAGUCCUGACAGUGCCCAGGAAGAAUGCAUUCACUGAAUAUUCAGCAGUCCCAGGAGAAAGAUAUUCAGGGAUGGGUGAAACGUUGGUUGUCUCUCAGCAUCAUUCUCUCUCUACAUACCCAUGUACUGACAGGCAUGAUCUGACCUUGGUGAAGCCAUGCUGACUGUCUCAGAUCACCUCCUCGUCUCACAUGUGCCUUGACAUAGCACAGAGGGCAUCAUUUGUUUCCUCUACAGCAAAAGUGAAAUUCUGAUCUCCACGUGGAAUGCUCCAGGUGCUCUGAAGCCGUUAAGCCUUAGUGACGUUAAGCCAUGGUGAUGUUGACCCUAAUGCAAAUGAGGUUGAGACCCACAAGCAGAAAUAAAUCAUUGUUUGUAUU
rnacentral:lncRNA from 7 species